rnacentral:lncRNA from 1 species
GUGAUAGCGUGCCAAGCACUGCAUUAGGGACUAGGGGUGGGGAUGAUGAAGGCAGGGGCUGCUCCUGUAGCUGAGAUCUGGGGUUGACCUUCGGAGUCAGUGUGAGGAGGUCAGAGUACUGAGUGUCCUCCAAGCCUCACUUUUCCCCCUGCGGUCCGGCAGAGAAUGGUGGCGUCACCCUAGAGCGAGGAUUUGCAGACCAACUGGAGUGUCUCCUUCCUGAGCAUUCAGCCUACAAUCCCAAGGGACUGAGUUGGCUCCAGUGCAGUAUACAUGGAAGUGGUACUUGCUCUUUGGGGCUUGGCCUCAGAACUAUCCUGGAUGGAGGUCAGAGCUUACCGUAUGGUCAGGUCUGUCUUCGCAUAGCCGUCGUACUGUGUGCUCCUCUGCAGUGCAUGCAUAUCCAGUUCAGGACUGCCACAAACCAGGAUUUCUACUUCUUCUGGACGAAGCAGCUAUCAAUAAUCACAAAAACCAUAAUUCAAAAUGAUAGUCUUGCCGGGCAGUGGCGGUGCCCUCCUUUAAUCCCAGCACUCGGGAGGCAGAGGCAGGCGGAUUUCUGAGUUCGAGGCCAGCCUGGUCUACAAAGUGAGUUCCAGGACAGCCAGGGCUGCACAGAGAAACCCUGUCUUGAAAAUCCAAAUUUAAAAAAAUGAUAGUCUUAAAUGAAAUUUGAAGUGUUUUUAUUGCAGAAUCAAAUCAUAGAAAUUAUGACACUGUCUCAGUAAAUAAAAUUACUUUUUUGUUGAAGAAAA